AAAGUUACCUGGCAGGGGAGAUACCAUGAUCACAAAGGUGGUUUUUCCAGGGCAAAGCUUAUCCAUUGCACUCUGGAUGCACGCCUGCAAUUUCCUCAAAUGUGGGCAACUCGACUGCAUAAUUUGAGGCAGUGGGGAACUGUGUUCGUUCUCUCCCCUU